rnacentral:lncRNA from 1 species
AAGCUCCCGCCCUAGUGCAGCUCACCGUGUACAGGACAUGGAGUUGACUGGCUUUGAGGCUCUGGAGAAGAGGUGCCCAUUGUGCAAUCUAUUCUGGCCUUAAACUGGAAAGCCCCAGCCUCAGCCUCCUAAUUACUGGCAUAAACCAUCAUUCCUGAAUAAAAUGACGUUACUUUAUAUAAUGUUCCUGUCCUUUAAUGCUAGGUAAGUAAUAUAAAUAAUAGUGAUAUUGUGGCUAGCAGCAUGAAACUCAUAUAUAAUUUCCUAGAUGAGUUUUUAGUAUAAGUUUGCAUAUGAUGAUGCCACUUCACACAACAGCUGAUCCUGUAUCUUCUGUUUUCCUUCUCAGUGGUCUUUCUCAAGCUUUAUGGCUAGCUUAUGUUCAUUCCUUAUAUAUUGUGGCUUUGAUGUUUUAAACUUCAAAUACUUGCCUGUUAUUUCUUCUGUGCCAUUUGCUUUGUUCCCACAGUGACCACCUAGCUUGCUCUCUCUCUUCAUAUUUUCUGUGUCUUAGGGAGAAGACAUCAUCAGAAAGAUCUUCUAUCUGGUAAGAUUUGGAAACAGAACAGGUUCAGAUAGUCUCUGAGCAGGAAGCUGUUUACGGCAGCCUGUUCUUGGCCUGUGUUUUAGUAUGUACCUAGAUUACAGAUGGACUCACAGUGCUCUUCAUUUGUCACAGUUUAUGGAAUGGUUUUGUUGUUUGGGGACAGGAUCUUACUGUGUAGCUCAAGCUAGUUUUGAAUAAGUAUUCUUUGUACCUUAACCUCUGGAGUGCAGAGAUUGCAGGUAUAUGCUAUCUUGCCCAAUCUAUAAAAAGAGAGUGUUAUACUUUAUUCCAUUGAGUAAUUAUGCAUUAUCUUUUAUGACGUACACAGUAUUCUGAGAACAUGUUAAUGUCAAAAAAAAGUAAAACUGAUUGAGGUAAAUCAGUAUUCAGUUACCGACUUAUCUGGGGGCUGGGGGUUUAACUGAGUAACUCUGGGGAAUUUCUUUCUCCUGGAAGUGAUCAUUCUGACUUAGCAAGAGUGUGCAAUGAAAAGUGAAGUGCAUUAAUAGUAAGAUAUGAUUCUAUAGCUGAAAAACAAGACCACUGGGCAGAGAAGCACUGUGAAUUCAUAGAAACUCUAUGUACUUUCUAUAGAAUUCCAUUAUUUACCUAAAGAUAGAAUCAGCUGUUACGUAGUAUUUCCCUUCUGUUUUUUUUUCAUUAGUUCUUUGAGAGUUUAGAGUUUCAAUACAGUGUGUUUUGAUUCCUGCCAUUGUUCUUAAUGUAAUAUAAUCUCUACGAGUUCAGAAUUUACCAGUACUUUCAGUAUCCAAGAAUCUGAAAAAGCAGCUCCUCAUACAAUUCACAGCCUGAACUGAAAAGCUGUGACAAUAUUUAUUCUUAGUGUUUUGACCCAUUAGCUAUAUAUAUUUUACUAUAGAAGCAUUAAUAUUUAAUUAUUUGCUAGGCUUAUCCUUGACUCUUGGUAUUAGCACUAUAUGUGUACCACAUUGCCCUUUUGUUUGGGUUGGCUUGGAGGAUACACUAUGCUAUAUGUUACGUUUGUAGUCAAAUUUACAAAGAAACUUUUUUUUUUUAAAAAAAAUUACUAUCCUUUAAAAAAUCUUUCUC